CGUAUCGAGAGCGCGAUAAGCGACUUGGAAAAAGUGCGCGCCCAUCGGACCUCAUCCCCGAAGCGAUCUGCGUUGUAGACAAAGUGCAAUUAGAGCCGGUAACUUCGUGUGCGCUGUGCUUACGACGUUCGCGUUGACGCGAGAGACGGCACGAAGGUCAAUUCGGUCGCUGCUGCCGCCGCGCCCCAUCGCUCAAGCGUUUUGACAGCGAGUUUCCACGGUCGUUGAGCCAGAUGUGUUCACGUUUACCUGUGCAUGCGCUACUGUGCUCAUUAAUUUAGUUGGUAAGUGAAUGUUUACAACUUUAUAUGGCCACGAAAACUACUAUCCGUAUAGUUCGUAUUGCUGUCUACUAAUUUGUUAUCGCAAGCGAUGCUUCAUUGAGUCCGGUGCCGAGUCUCUCGAAAUCUCGAGAAAGUGAAACUAUCUCCGUAAGAGGUCAGCCCAUAAUACCCGCCUACGUUUGCUAAGCGACAACGGAAAAAUAAAUGCACACUACCAAUGGCGGGCACAAUUGGAGCUGAUUGUCCUGACGUCUCAUUUACUAGAUAGCACCUGACGCAAUCAUAUUCGAGGGAAGCGCCAAUAGAAAUGCCGAUGUCUCUCUCCCGCACAAAAAGAAAUUGUCGGAUAAUAUUUUAUACUUCUCGGAGUACUCAAGGCUGUUGAUAAAUUACAAUUUUCAUUAGAUCAUGGCGGCGUUUCACGGUGUCCAGAAUAGAAAUGCAAGGGUUCGUGUUUCCAUCUCUAUCACCGUGCUUCUCACGUAGGCGUGCGAUGUCUUUUCUUUUUCAACGGUGCCGUGAACGAACGGCACGAGAUCGACCUGGUCGUGUUGCGCACCCAUCUGCCAAGCAGAGACGAUGCUGGCCUUUCGUGCGUCGUCACCAGGACCAGCGUGGGAGGCAGCACGGUGGCCGAUUAUACUAGCCAGACCAGCAAGUUGCCCGGUGUCUACCUGCCUGCACUGCGGAACUGGUGGUCAGGCCUUCUGGCAGGAUGGAAACUGGCAGCCCGCCCUGCAGAUGACGGGGCCAGCUUUUCUUGCAGCCUGGUGUCUGAUGCCGGCUUUGCUGACCUGGUGGCCAGCUGUUCUUGUGGCCUCCUCGGCUGCUGAUCAGAAGAUCGAACAUGCGUUAAGUGUCACAGUGGUAAAAGGUGACAUGCAUCAACCAUUCCGAAGUGAUAAUUUGGACCAACUGGCACAUUGCUGGCAGUACAACAGGGUGAAGAUGGGGGAAACACAAACUCUACUCCGGACCAUCUAUUGAGAUUUCGUGCGUUAUUACUUUUCAUAUGCCCUGUUUCUUAUUUGUAAGCCAAUUAUGCAUACGCUGCAUUGUUUUGGACAAAACCAUAUGCAGCGUAUAUGUAUGCAAAAUGUAUGCAAUAUGCAACCAUAUGUAUACGACCGAGAGCAUUUCUGGCGCUCUGUAAAGCUCGCUCUUCGCGUAGUGAGAAGAGCGCUGUGGGCCGUAUUGUUCAUUGAGUCGGGUGCCGAGUCUCGCGAAAUCUCGAGAAAGAGAAAUUAUUGUAAGUGAUCGCCCCAGAAUACGUGCUUAUGCUAAACGACGAAAACAGAAAAAUAAAGGCAUACUACCAAUGGCGGUCACAAGCCAGGCUGGUUGUCCUGUCGUUGCAUUUACUAGAUUGCACCUGACGCCAUAAUAUCCGAGGGAAGCGCCCAUAGAAGUGUCGAUGUCUUCCUCUCGCGAACAAAACGGCGCCGGAUGUCAUAAUGAGUUAUACUUCUUGAAGGGCUCAACACUGUUGAUAAACUAUAAUUUACGAUAAAUCAUGGCAGCCUUUAAGGGUGUCCAGAAUAGAACUCCAAGGUUUCGCGUCCCCAUGUCUUUCAGCGUGCUUCUCACGUACACGUGCGAUGUCUUUUCUUUUUCAACG